ACUCCUACGGGAGGCAGCAGUGGGGAAUAUUGCACAAUGGGCGCAAGCCUGAUGCAGCCAUGCCGCGUGUAUGAAGAAGGCCUUCGGGUUGUAAAGUACUUUCAGCAGUGAGGAAGGUGGGUAUGUUAAUAGCAUAUUCUAUUUGUACGUUAGCUGCAGAAGAAGCACCGGCUAACUCCGUGCCAGCAGCCGCGGUAAUACGGAGGGUGCGAGCGUUAAUCGGAAUUACUGGGCGUAAAGCGCAUGCAGGUGGUUUGUUAAGUCAGAUGUGAAAGCCCGGGGCUCAACCUCGGAAUUGCAUUUGAAACUGGCAAACUAGAGUACUGUAGAGGGGGUAGAAUUUCAGGUGUAGCGGUGAAAUGCGUAGAGAUCGUGAAGGAUACCGGUGGCGAAGGCGGCCCCUGGACAGAUACUGACACUCAGAUGCGAAAGCGUGGGAGCAAACAGGAUUAGAU
rnacentral:rRNA from 1 species